GAUGAACGCUGGCGGCGUGCCUAAUACAUGCAAGUCGAGCGAACAGACGAGGAGCUUGCUCCUCUGACGUUAGCGGCGGACGGGUGAGUAACACGUGGAUAACCUACCUAUAAGACUGGGAUAACUUCGGGAAACCGGAGCUAAUACCGGAUAAUAUAUUGAACCGCAUUGUUCAAUAGUGAAAGACGGUUUUGCUGUCACUUAUAGAUGGAUCCGCGCCGCAUUAGCUAGUUGGUAAGGUAACGGCUUACCAAGGCAACGAUGCGUAGCCGACCUGAGAGGGUGAUCGGCCACACUGGAACUGAGACACGGUCCAGACUCCUACGGGAGGCAGCAGUAGGGAAUCUUCCGCAAUGGGCGAAAGCCUGACGGAGCAACGCCGCGUGAGUAAUGAAGGUCUUCGGAUCGUAAAACUCUGUUAUUAGGGAAGAACAAAUGUGUAAGUAACUAUGCACGUCUUGACGGUACCUAAUCAGAAAGCCACGGCUAACUACGUG
rnacentral:rRNA from 1 species